GGUCGAACGCUGGCGGCGUGCUUAACACAUGCAAGUCGAACGCUGAAGCUUGGUGCUUGCCCUGGGUGGAUGAGUGGCGAACGGGUGAGUAAUACGUGAGUAACCUGCCCUUGACUCUGGGAUAAGCCUGGGAAACUGGGUCUAAUACUGGAUACGACAUGUCACCGCAUGGUGGCGUGUGGAAAGGGUUUUACUGGUUUUGGAUGGGCUCACGGCCUAUCAGCUUGUUGGUGGGGUAAUGGCUCACCAAGGCGACGACGGGUAGCCGGCCUGAGAGGGUGACCGGCCACACUGGGACUGAGAGACGGCCCAGACUCCUACGGGAGGCAGCAGUGGGAAGUAUUACACAGUGGGCGAAAGCCUGAUGCAGCGGCGCCGCGUGAGGGAUGACGGCCUUCGGGUUGUAAACCUCUUUCAGCACGGAAGAAGCGAAAGUGACGGUACGUGCAGAAGAAGCGCCGGCUAACUACGUG
rnacentral:rRNA from 1 species